rnacentral:rRNA from 1 species
UGGCGGCCAUAGCGGUUUGGUCCCACGCCUUCCCAUCCCGAACAGGGCCGUGAAACGAACCAGCGCCGAUGAUAGUGCGGAUACCCGUGCGAAAGUAGGACACUGCCAAACA